rnacentral:tRNA from 1 species
GGGGGUAUAUCUCAGCGGUAGAGCGUGUGCUUAGCAUGUACGUGGUCCUGGGUUCAAUUCCCAGUUCCUCCA